rnacentral:lncRNA from 12 species
AUGAAGGAAGAGGAAUUCCCUUACAUUUCCAAGAAAGCAACUGAACAUGGAAUGACCAGGAGGGUCAGGAAAACACACCCUGAAUCACACUGCCUUCUGAGUUCAGAGUUGAGCCCUAUUAGUAGUGACAACCUGGGUUCAGAUUGCCUAGGCUACAGGCCCACCAAGCUCACCUCCAAGGCUAUAGGCCCACCAAGCCCACCUCCAAGAAUAUAAACUCCUUCAUGCUUCAUCCAGUCUUUGUUCCCUGAGGACUAGUAAAAUGCCAAGCCCAUGGCAAUGUUUAAUAAACAUCUGUUGAACAAAUGCCGAAUGAAUAUG